GUGCCAGCCGCCGCGGUAAUACGUAGGUGGCAAGCGUUGUCCGGAUUUACUGGGUUUAAAGGGUGCGUAGGCGGUUUGUUAAGUCAGUCGUUAAAGGCAGCAGCUUAACUGUUGUAAGGCGAUUGAUACUGGCGAACUUGAAUUAUUGGGAGGUUGUCGGAAUGCGUAGUGUAGCGGUGAAAUGCUCAGAUAUUACGCAGAACGCCGAUUGCGAAGGCAGAUAACUACCAAUAUAUUGACGCUGAGGCACGAAAGUGUGGGGAGCGAACAGGAUUAGAAACCCUUGUAGUCC
rnacentral:rRNA from 1 species